rnacentral:rRNA from 1 species
CCUACGGGAGGCAGCAGUGGGGAAUAUUGGGCAAUGGACGCAAGUCUGACCCAGCAACGCCGCGUGAAGGAAGAAGGCUUUCGGGAUGUAAACUUCUUUUAAGGGGGAAGAGCAGAAGACGGCACCCCUUGAAUAAGCCAUGGCUAACUACGUGCCAGCAGCCGCGGUAAUACGUAGGUGGCAAGGGUUGUCCGGAUUUACUGGGUGUAAAGGGCGUGCAGCCGGGAAGACAAGGCAGAUGUGAAAUCCCGGGGCUCAACCGCGGAACUGCAUGUGAAACUGUUUUUCUGGAGUAGGAGAGAGGUACGCGGAAGUCCUAGUGUAGCGGUGAAAUGCGUAGAUAUUAGGCAGAACACCAGUGGCGAAGGCGGAUUACGGGACCACAACUGACGGUGAGGCGCGAAAGCGUGGGGAGCGAACAGGAUUAGAUACCCGAGUAGUC